rnacentral:lncRNA from 1 species
AAGACAGGAAAACACAAAAUUAAACAAUGCUUAUUAUUUGGUCUAGGGUUGACUCUAGAGUACCUGCAGGCAACCUCAUGCAAUGCAAAGUACCACUAGUGCAUUCCAGUUCCCUCUAGGAGGGAACUUAUAAUAGAUGUUGGCUAAUAACUUUGUCUUAUGACUUAGUCAGAUGCCAAAGCAAUGUUUUGCAUAAAUAAACGUAGGUUGCUAUACAUUUCUGCUGCCUAAAGAAAAAUUCCCAUGUUGCACACAGCUUGUUUCCCGUCAUUUGAGAAAAGUCAGAAAACUGCUAGAUGAAAAGUACAAAAAUUUUAUCUCUGUUUCUGGGUUUAAAAUUUUCCUGCCCUUAAUAUUUUCAGUAGGAUUCUGUUCAAAAUCAGAACUUGAUUCCUCCUAUGUGAGAUACUGAGUAGCAAACAGUUUUGGCAGUUGCUCCACAGAAUGGUUUUGGUGUGGGAACAGGAAUUGGAAUGUUGGGUAUGUAAUUGGCAGUACUAUCUGAUGCCACUGACUGUGUGAUAGUAGUGAUCACACAUGAAGAUAGUUUAUACUUAAAUGAUGAUCUUAAGUUGUUCUGCAGUUCUUCAAGAGACUCCAGGUAAGCUUCUGAGGAUUUAUCGAGAAACUGCAGUGGUCUGCUCACUUUGGACUUCAGCAUCACUUGCAUCUAAUGUCACCUGCAGAUGGACAGCCCUGGAGUGCAGGUGAUGACUUGGAAGAUAGCCUGUGAUACUCCAUAAGUGUGUACUGAACAUGUCCAGGAAGGUGCCUGCCCAUGCUUUCUUGGUGUAGGUUGGAAGUUCUACUGUUGACUCCAAAGUCACAGAACUCUUCCCAGGAAAAACAAAAUGCCAAAAAAACUUCCUACUCUUCUAGCCAGUGUGAUAGUUUUAGAAUAGAUAAUAUUACAGACAAACUAAGAAACUGAAUGCCUAAUUUUUAUCCCUUACAUGUAACAUACACAUUAAACUCUUUAUUUUCAGUUUUUCCUUAGUAAUACAAUAUGUAAUACAAUAUGUAUUUUAAAGGCCCAUAAGUACUAAUAUUCAGUCUCUUCUAAAUUUUAAAGCAUUCUACUCCUCAAGGAGGCACAGAACUCCCCCUGCAUCAGCACUCUCCAGGAGACACAGACAAGUUCAGGGAAUACAGAAUUAUAUAUUCUUAUCAUUCUACCUGAGGUCAUAUCUGUUAACAGUAGAGGUUGUUAGGCCAUUAUCAGCCACUGAUUCUUCUCCAGCUGUGAGAAUAAUUUGGAUUCAGGGAGGAAACAUAAACUGAUCUCCUUUCACUCAUCCACCAAGUUGAAUAGGAUUUGUCUUCUCUGUACCAUGGGCUGGUCCACAGCCAGUGGACCACAGUGGAACACAGUAACCAGUGUUACUGGAACAAGUGUGUUAUUUUUAAAUUUCCUUUUCUGUUAACUUAUCAA